CGCGAAAAUCAACAACGCAGCAUUCUACUGGCGACUGACGUGAGAGCGUUGCAACUUUGCGAUUUUAUCACUAGACGUGGCGAAUUUGGGUUUCCUUGACAACAAAAGAUUGUCAGAGCGACUACCGACAAUAGUGAUUUCAGUGAAACAAGUCACCAAUCUGUAUAAUCACAAAAUAACUCAUCUGCAGUUAACUGUGAUAAAUACAAUCCAUGAUCUUAGUACAUUCUGUUGUACGCCAUUUUUACGUUAUUACGUCUACAUAGCCUUAACAAGUUGUGAUGUGAGACAAGCGGCACCUGAUGACUGUGAACAUUGUAGUUAGUUGAGGGAGUUCCAUCCACACAAUCCAGCUACAUCCAAAGAAAGGGAAUGGAACUGGAACAAGGAUAUUAUGAAGAUUUAGCAAACAUUUUUGAGGCUAACUUCUAUUGUACUUGCUGUGAAGACAAUCAAUAAACAACUAUGCCGGCAGAGAAAGCUGUUGUGACCAUUCUUCAUUUCAAUGACUGCUACAAUGUCGAAUCUCAGCCUCAAGAACCAGCUGCAGGAGCAGCCAGAUUUUGUCAUGCUCUCAAGAGCUUCAGUGACUUGGAUCCUAUGAUACUUUUUAGUGGUGACAUAUUUGCUCCAUCAUUUAUGAGCACCUUCACCAAGGGAGAACAGAUGAUACCUUCCCUCAAUGCUUUUGGUGUCCAUUGUGCUGUUUUUGGAAAUCAUGACUUUGAUUUUGGCAUAGAUAAUUUAAGCGACUUUGUGAAGCAGACAAAUUUUCCAUGGCUAAUUAGUAAUGUGAUUGACAAUGAUACUGACCAGCCUUUGGCAGAUGGCCAGACUACCUUUAUCAUCGAGAGAGGGGGAAAAAAGUUUGGGUUGAUUGGUUUGGUGGAAGAAGAAUGGUUAGCAACGCUAGCUACUAUAGAUCCAGAUGAUGUUACUUACACAGAUUUUGUAACAGAAGGCCGCAGGUUGGCUCGUCAAUUAAAGGACAAGGAGGAGGUUGAUUACGUCAUUGCUCUUACCCACAUGAGGUGGCCCAAUGAUUGUAGACUUGCUGAAAAUGUUGAUGAAAUAGAUCUUAUCCUCGGAGGUCAUGACCACGAUUAUGAAGUAAAAAAGGUCAAUGAAAAAUAUGUGAUUAAAAGUGGGACAGACUUCAGAGAAUUUUCCAAUCUCACACUGACUUUUUCUCACUCUGUUGUGGAUUUGAACAUUGAGAGGAUUGAAGUGUCAUCCAAGUUUGGAGAGGAUCCAGACUUAAAAAAACUGCUAGAGAAAUACACUGAUGUUGUAGAAGGAAAGAUGGACACACUUCUUGGCCAUUUUACUGUUGAUUUGGAUGGCCGCUUUACCAGUGUUCGAACAAAAGAGACAAAUCUAGGUAAUUUUAUUUGUGACACAAUGUUGUCCUCAACUCACUCUGAUCUGGCAAUUCUUAACUCUGGAACCUUGCGUUUAGAUAGGGUUCAUCCAGCAGGGGCUUUCACGAUGAGAGACUUAGUGACAAUGUUGCCCAUGCUGGAUCCCCUUAUCGUUGUUAAUGCUACAGGUGAACAAAUAUGGAAAGCUUUAGAGAAUUCUGUAUCUCAGUAUCCCAAGCUAGAAGGGAGAUUCCCUCAAGUUGCCGGUGUCAGUUUUGCUUUUGAUCCAAGGAAAAGUCCUGGAAGUAGAAUUGACCCCAAGUAUAUAAAAAUUGGAGAUGAGUUUUUGAAGCUUGGUCAGAAAUACAAGCUAGUGACAAAGAGCUAUCUGGCUCAAGGAAGAGAUGGAUAUGAUGCACUCAAAGAUUGUGAAGUUCUGAUGACAGAAGAGGAAAGUCCAGAGCUACGUACUGCUAUAAUAAAUCACUUUGAGUCGAUCAAAGUACUUACCGGUGCUAUCCGUCGUCGCUCUCGUCACCGUCAAAGUCUAGUGUGUUUAUCUCGAAGGCACAGUAUUGUAAAAUUGUAUGAGGACAAUAACCAUCAAAUUCAUCGUGCUCCUCUGCGACGUGGGACUAGUUUGGAUGCAGUUAGUAAACGAAACCUAUUUGUUGCUAUGAGACAACCAUCACUUGAUGACAUAGAACAAGAAACAUGCAAGUUGGAUCCAAAAGAAGAUGGUCGAAUUUCUAUCUUGACUGGAGAGGUCAGAGAAAAACUGGAGCAAGAGAGAGAGGAACAAAUGAGUCACUUUAUGGACGAGGUGAUAGAAGAAGAGUCAUCUUUUGGCAGUUUCGACAAAAACUAGCAAAGCCUCAUUCCUAAGCCCUUAACAAUUUUUUUCCUGUGUGUAUAUAAAUUAUAUAUAAGCACAAUUUAAAUAUAUUAGUUCUAUCUUGAUUUUAAAAUAAUUACAGGCACGUCGUCUAUUGUAAAGAAUUAUGAAUUUAAUGUACUUUCAAGCCUGUAAACGGUUUUUGAAGAGAGAUGUUAUCCAAUGCCAAUAUUUUAGAGCUACAAAUUACUUGACAUAUAGUCUAGUUUUGCUUGACUAUACUCUUGAGCUUCAAACUUCUUAUUGAACUAAAAACAAAUUAUUGACAAUAUUGCUGUGCUUUAAAUUAAAGUUUUGAUUAGUUGAAAAAUGUUACGUAUUACCUAUGAGUAGUAUUUUUGGGUUUACAGAAUGGAAAGUAUUUUAAAAUGUGUUUUAUAUGUAUUAAUAUUAAGCAUAAUCGUUAUACUAUGUAGAUUUGAAUAUGUAUAAAUGACAUACUGGACCGGGAACGUACUUCUUUCCAAUUUAAAACUUGUUGAUUGAUUUUCGCACGUGGUAAAAGUCGCAAUAUAUUUAUUAAAUAAACCCCUAUUAUGAGUUUUAAGCAACCAUUACUUUUUGUUUUUAACCUGUUAAAAUUGUGUCUUUUUUGAAGAUUAUUGUCACCAUGCUUUAAAAUCUGUAGUUUUAACUACUUGUUUGGGUGUAAAAUGAUUAAUUCCGAAGUUAUAGAUAAUUUAUAACAUCCACGUGUGUUAAAGUUAGUGUAUAAAAUGUAUGGAUUAUACAUCUUGAUGAAAGAAAAAUCUUAUUGCACUAAAUUAGUAAAUUGUUUAACAAUUUAGAAUUAGUCGUUAUAUAUAUAUCCAAACAAAGAAAAAUAUGUCCAGAAUAUUCCAAUUAUAAUUAGUGGUGUUAAACAACAAAAAAUAAUUUGAAUAUAUUAAAAGUAUUCUGGUAAAAAUAUUAGACUUGCAAAAUAAAUAUCUCAAAUUUCCGAACGCUAUGGUCGACCCCCCCUCCCCUACAAAAAGCUGGAAACAUUCAUGAUUUAAAAUAUAGAGUAAUUUCGACGUUCACAAGGAAGCGAUUGGUAAGAUAGCUUAUCGCUUUUGAUUUGAUUUAUUAUUCAUUCAUAUUAGUUAUUUCUUCUUUUUUUACCCAAGUGGAAGAUAAAGCUAAGUACGGCAAAAUUUAUUAUUAAAGCUGAAAUAUACUAUCACAUAACAUGUAAUUAUUGUAAAAAAUCUUAUCAUACAAGUACUUUAAAUUCAAUAAAAAUACUGAUAUAGGUGUAAGCUAUAUCUAAACUGUUAGAUUGAAGUGAAAUAAGAGUUCAGCAAAAUGGCGUACAUAGUAUACAAGAGUAUGUUACUUUUAUAUGUACAUAGUGCAAGGAAAUGUUAAUAAAUCUAUAGUAUAUGCAACGUUAAACCUAGCAAACACAAGAUGAAAAAUAAAACCAUCAAUAUAAAACAUCCAAACAGUCCAUUUGAUUUCAGAUCGCCAUGUUUAAGUUACCUAGUAAAUUUAGGCUGUCAAUUAUAACUGGUUCAUUUAGUGGAAUUCUUGUCAAAUCUAUGUUGUAUGUUAAAGCCCAUUUGGUGUAAAGGUGCCAAGUAUAAGUUGUUUGUAAAAUCCAUGUGUUAUAAAUCUUACCAAGUCUGUGUUGCCUGUUAAAGUCCAUUUGGCGUAAAGGUGCCAAGUAUAAGUUGUCUGUUAAAUUAUUGUGUUAUAAAUCUUACCAGGUCUAUGCCAGUUAAAUUCCAUUUGGCGUAAAGGUGCCAAGUAUAAGUUGUCUGUUAAAUUAUUGUGUUAUAAAUCUUACCAGGUCUAUGCCAGUUAAAUUCCAUUUGGUGUAAAGUUGCCAAGUAUAAGUUGUCUGUUAAAUCCAUAUGUUAUAAAUCUUACCAGGUCUAUGCCAGUUAAAUUCCAUUUGGUGUAAAGGUGCCAAGUAUAAGUUGUCUGUUAAAUCCAUGUGUUAUAAAUUUAACCAAGGCUAUGUUGCUUGUUAAGUUCCAUUCGGUGUAAAGGUGCCAAGUGUAAAUUGCCUGUUAAAUUCUCGUGUUAUAAAUUUUGCCAAGUCUAAGCUGCCUGUUAAAGCCCAUUUCUUUGUACAGUUAUCAAUUGUAAGUUGUCUGUUAAAUCCAUAUGUUAUAAAUUUUACCAAGUCUAUGCUACCUGUUAAAGUCUAUUUGAUGUAAAGGUGUCAAAUCUGUUGAUCCAAACUAGUUAUCUGUAUCUUUAUUCGUAAGGUGUCAUUCGCUAUUUCUUAAAGCCAGAAAAUAAUUUUACUUUCAACUAACUGGGAUGAAGCAAACAAACAAAUCGGUCGAUUAACUGGUCUGUCUGAUCUAUGAUUAGUGAGGUGUAUCGUUCAGUCCUUUUGUUUUUGACGUUAGGAUUCUUUGAAUGGUACUUGUUAGAGUGAAUGCUCAGGAUUGUUCUCUUUCGCCAAUGAGUACAGCUCAUAGUUCAGUGGUUCUCAAACUUAUUAGGUUCAAGUACUACCUUUUUUUAUAUAUAUAAACCCAAUUUUAAAGAAAACGAAAACCUAGUAGCAAAAGUUAAUAUUUUUACACAAUUACCUCUUAAUAGAAAUGACGUGAUUGUUUUUUCUGGCACAAUUGAGGAAUAUGAUUUUUGUCAAUUUAACGGGAAGAAAACACUGGCGAGUCUAGAAGUGAGGAGAAUAGUGUGCAUAUUUUGCAUAUGAAUAGAUUUUAAUAACCUCUAAGUCAAUGUCAUUUGUUAUGUAUUUUUUAGUAUUUUAGCUAUAUUUCCUCAUGAAUGUAUUUUGACAGUUAAAAAUGGGUCGUAUUCAAGUUUCUAUCGAGUUUUCAAGGUCAUGAUGAAGGUAAAGCUGGAAGUGAGUUCUUGAAUGAAAAAGUUUCCCUUUUUUAUUGUCGCAUUAAAAUUAGUCUUAGCUGCUACGUAGAAUAUUUUAGACAAAGAAUGUAGUAAAUCCCAAAAUUAUUUAUGUUUGUCCUUUGGCAUAAUCCAUUCAUUAAUUUUAAGACUAAAGACAUUCUAACAGCGUUUUGUUUGUAAAAGAAAUUUUGUGGGGAAAUAUGAUGCCUGUAAGUAUCCCCGUAGUUUAGUUUUUGAACCAAAAGGAAGAAGCAGAUUGGAGAACUUGCUUAUGGUACCAUAAGAUUGAUGUUGAACUUCAGGUUCAGUUUCACCGAAGAAAUGAUUUUAAAGACAAGUUUCUUAAGCAGUAUUCAUCCUAAGCUAUGCUCUGUAGAUCGGUGGUUCUCAAAGAUAAGUUUCUUAAGCAGUAUUCGUCCUAUGCUAUGUGUUGAAGAUCGGUGGUUCUCAGCCUUUUACAGUAAUGUACCCUUAGUUAAUUUUCAACACUAUCAUGUAUCCCCGCAGUGGCGCCAUCAGAAAUCAGCGUGUGUUUGAGUAAUUUUGUACCCCAUGUAUCCCCGGUUGAAAACCACUGCUAUAAACAGAUGUCUAAAAAAAUUACUAUAAAAUUUGUUUUAUGUUUUUACUUGGUGCUUAAGAAUAUGAUAUUCCGUGGACCGGGGUCUCGAAAUUACACUUAAUUAUGCAACACAAUAGAAUAGUAAGAUACUGGAUAUAGUUAAUUCUAACGUUUUCUUUCGUGCAUUUGUAUGAUUGUAUUGUUGUUUAUUUUUAUAAAACAAUUUUAUGAUGCCAUUUUCUUAAACACCAGUAUUAUAUAGUAGAUUUUAAUACCAAUGCUGUAGAGUAUAGAUGAAAGUUUUUGUUUCGUAUAUACGAGAAAAAUGAUUCUAUUCAUUAGUACUUUUAUGUGUGCGAUUGUCUGCUCAACAAUAUUUGACACUUAUUAAACCUUACUAGGAUCAUAACUUCAGAUUGUAUUGUAUGUCGGACCUUGUAUGAUGGUAUGUCAUUGAUGCUUUUGAGCUUAAUUAGUCCAAUAAUGAAAACUUAGAGAAUCGAAUCAGAAGGCACUAAAAGAGUUGACAGUGCACGUGACCAAUUACUGAAAUUCUGAAUGGUCACUUAUCUUUUCUCACUAAGGAAAUAUGACUGUAGCUUUCAUGAUAGCGAAAGCAAUGUUUUAUUAACCGUCUUUUUGACUCUUUAUUUCUUAAUAACUUAAGUCCUUGCAUAACAUCCAAACGUUUAUAUAUAUAUCUUUAUACACAUGCCUUUUAUAUUUGUGUAAAAAGGGUACUUGUUUUUCAACAUUUGUGUGUAAGCUCAAGUCCCUAAACCAAAGUAUCUCCACUUUUUUUUUGAAAAAUUACUGUAAAAUAAAAUGUGUUAACUCACACUAUAUAAAAUAAAAGCCAACUAUAACCAGCUGAUAA
rnacentral:misc_RNA from 1 species